UACGAAGGGGGCUAGCGUUGUUCGGAUUUACUGGGCGUAAAGCGCGCGUAGGCGGAUCGCUAAGUCAGGGGUGAAAUCCCAAGGCUCAACCUUGGAAUUGCCUUUGAUACUGGCAAUCUGGAGUUCGGGAGAGGUGAGUGGAAUUCCGAGUGUAGAGGUGAAAUUCGUAGAUAUUCGGAGGAACACCAGAAGCGAAGGCGGCUCACUGGCCCGAUACUGACGCUGAGGCG
rnacentral:rRNA from 1 species